rnacentral:misc_RNA from 1 species
UACGUAGGGUGCAAGCAUUAUCCGGAGUGACUGGGCGUAAAGAGUUGCGUAGGUGGUUAGUAUAGCGAAUAGUGAAACCUGGUGGCUCAACCAUACAGACUAUUAUUCGAACUCACUAACUCGAGAACAGCAGAGGUAACUGGAAUUUCUUGUGUAGGAGUGAAAUCCGUAGAUAUAAGAAGGAACACCGAUGGCGUAGGCAGGUUACUGGGCUGUUUCUGACACUGAGGCACGAAAGCGUGGGGAGCGAACCGG